UGGUGUGGGCCAGUGGAAUUGCAGGAGAGUGGAAGAGGGCAGAAGCUGUAGGUAUUACCCCUAAUGUGGGAUCUCUCCUGGACGUGAAUGCAAGAACCUGCCAAGAAAACCAAUGGCCAAGGGGAUUGAUGAGUGCAGGACCUGAGAGAACCCCUGAGAAAAUGGGGAAAGCGGGAAGGAAGAAGAGAAGCCCCGUGACUCCUCCCUGAGCCCCAGACAGCCCAGGAACUGCCUCCCUGGGAAUGGUGGCACGGGCUGGACUCUGGAUUGCUCCCUCUGGAUGUGUGGCUCUCCCCUGCAGGAACUCCAGGA